AUCCUACAAUGAAAUUGGGAGGUCCUCAUUUUUGGUAUUCAAAUAUUUAUAAGGCUUUAGAUCUUUCAAACGAGGAAGUUGUUACACUUGCAAAUGCAAAAGCAUCAAUUAAAAUUAAUGCUCAAACUGUUUAUAAUGCUUAUCAAGUUGCCUUAGAGCAUGCUAGGCCAAAUAUUCCAACCCCUACUUCGUCUAGCUCAC
rnacentral:lncRNA from 1 species